CAGUAGCCACGGUAAGACAGAGGAUGCAAGCGUUAUCUGGAAUGAUUGGGCGUAAAGCGACUGUAGGUGGCUUUUCAAGUCUGCAGUCAAAUCCCAAGGCUCAACCCUGGACAGGCGGCGGAAACUACCAAGAUGGAGUACGGUAGGGGCAGAGGGAAUUUCCGGUGGAGCGAUGAAAUGCGUUGAGAUCGGAAAGAACACCAACGGUGAAAGCACUCUGCUGGGCCGACACUGACACUGAGAGACGAAAGUUAGGGGAGAAAAUGGGAUUAGAUACCCCCGUAGUCCCUGUCUCUUAUAU
rnacentral:rRNA from 1 species